CCGGCGACCGGCGGACGGGUGCGUAACGCGUAUGUAACCUACCUUUGACAGGGGGAUAACAUCGAGAAAUUGGUACUAAUACCCCAUAACAUCACCGGAGGCAUCUUCGGUGGUUGAAAACUCAGGUGGUCAGAGAUGGACAUGCGUUGUAUUAGCUAGUUGGUGAGGUAACGGCUCACCAAGGCGACGAUACAUAGGGGGACUGAGAGGUCAACCCCCCACAUUGGUACUGAGACACAGACCAAACUCCUACGGAAGGCAGCAG
rnacentral:rRNA from 1 species